rnacentral:rRNA from 1 species
GUCUACGGCCACACCUAGGCGAAAACACCAGUUCCCGUCCGAUCACUGCAGUUAAGCGUCUGAGGGUCUCGUUAGUACUAUGGUUGGAGACAACAUGGGAAUCCGGGAUGCUGUAGGCU